CUGAGAGGCAAGGAGAUGUCUUUGAGGCUGAACACAAUGAGAACAUUUGCAAGUGCAGACUUGGAAGUAGAGCUGGCCAUAAAACAAAAAUCCCAUUCCCCGACCAAAAUGGAGCUUUCAGAAUGUAUUUUUGUUCUGCAGCAGACUAAGCUAAGCCGCUUUGAUAGAGAGACUGUGAAGAAGAAGAGCCCGUGGCCAGGUGGUGAGGGCACCUGCCCGGCAUGUGACAAUGACAGGUUCAGAUGCCUGCUUUGAAUCAGACAUCCCCAGGCAAUAUAAUCCAGCCCAGAAGUUUUGGGGUGCAUGCAUCCUGGUUGGAUCCACAGUCAUGCCCCACCCCUGCCUCUCCUUCUGCACACAGCUUCUCCAUGGGAGCGAAGAUCGACAGUCUACCUCUUUUCCAGGAGCAAUAGAGCCCCUUGCAAUGCAGAAGGACCCAUGCUCUCGAUCAGCUCCCUGUGGCGCAGUGAACCCAAGGAGCCGCUCAUAGGACUCUGUUGUGGGCCCCCCUCUCCUGCCCAUUGCUGAAGGGCAGGUUGAGUGGUGCAGGCCCCCAGAUCUACCUAUUGGGGAGCCCCAAGUCCCAGACUGCCUGGGUAUGGGUGAAGCGUUCCCCAAGAGGGUGCCACCUAUAGACUUUGCUUUGUAGUUAAUAGUGUUUUAAAUUAUAUUUAGUGUUUUCUUUAGGGAUUUUUUGUUUUUAUUCUCUGUAAUAAAUUUGAGUUUUUGUGUUUA